UACGGCGGCCAUAGCGGAGGGAAACGCCCGGUCCCAUUCCGAACCCGGAGCUAAGCCCUCCGCGCCGAUGUACUGCACUCGACAGGUGUGUAGAGUAGGACACCCGCGAAC
rnacentral:rRNA from 1 species